CACCUCCAGCAUCCCUAGUAUUGGAGGCACUGCCUGCCCAGUGACUAAACGUUAAACGGCCGCGGUAUUCUGACCGUGCAAAGGUAGCAUAAUCAUUUGUUCUCUAAAUAAGGACUUGUAUGAAUGGCCACACGAGGGUUUUACUGUCUCUUACUUCCAAUCAGUGAAAUUGACCUCCCCGUGAAGAGGCGGGGAUAAACCAACAAGACGAGAAGACCCUAUGGAGCUUUAACUAACUAGCCCAAAGAAAAUAGACUUAACCACCAAGGGAUAACAACACUCUUUAUGGACUAGCAGUUUUGGUUGGGGUGACCUCGGAGAACAAAAAAUCCUCCGAGCGAUUUUAAAGACUAGACUUACAAGUCAAACCAAAUUAUCACUUAUUGAUCCAAAAACUUGAUCAACGGAACAAGUUACCCUAGGGAUAACAGCGCAAUCCUAUUCAAGAGUCCAUAUUGACAAUAGGGUUUACGACCUCGAUGUUGGAUCAGGACACCCCGAUGGUGCAACCGCUAUCAAAGGUUCGUUUGUUCAACGAUUAAAGUCCU
rnacentral:rRNA from 1 species